UGAUAGUAUAUCAAGUAUGUAAAAAAAAUUGAUUGAGCUGUGAUAAGUUUUUGAACAAAAAUUCUUGCCUCUUCUCUUUACCUUUUUGUUUUGCGCUCGCGACUGGAAAAAGCGACCGGCGAAGAAGCUGAAAUAUUGCAACCAAAGAAUGAAGAAUGGAGAAGGAUAAAAUUUGAAUGCAAACGAAGAAGAAAAUAUAAAAAAUAAGAAAUAUAUAAAAUAUGCUAGAUUAAAUACGCUAUGCUACAACGCAUUCAUGACGUAAACACUGUAACAACAACAACAACA